rnacentral:rRNA from 1 species
GACGAACGCUGGCGGCGUGCCUAAUACAUGCAAGUAGAACGCAGUUGCGAACGGGUGAGUAACGCGUAGGUAACUGCCUCAUAGCGGGGGAUAACUAUUGGAAACGAUAGCUAAUACCGCAUACUGUGAGAUGGACCCGCGUUGUCGUAUCCAGUUUGGGAGGUAAAGGUUCACCAAGGCGAAGAUACAGAGCCUACCUGAGAGGGUGAUCAGCCACACGGGGACUGGGACACGGCCCAGACUCCUAAGGGGAGCAGCAGGAGGGAAGUUGUGGGCAUGGGCGGAAGUCUGAACGGGCAACGCCGGGGUAGGGGAGAAGGUUGUCGGGUCGUAAAGCUCUGUUGUUAGAGAAGCGGUAACUAACCAGAAAGGGACGGCUAACUACGUGCCAGCAGCCGCGGUAAUAC